AAACUAGGACCUGUUUAUCACUGAAGAGAAGUGCCCAUCUGAGGUUCUUCCUAACAGCACAGGAGGCAGAGACAAGAUUUCCAAAGAACCAUUCAGUACAAGCACUUUGAAACUACCUAUUAGCCAACAGAUUUCACCGGAACAGACCUAGGUAAAUUCUCAGAACUUUCCAGCUGGAGAUGCAUGUUCUGAAGAGCAGUAAGAGCUGCAGAAGGGGCAAUGUAAAGUUUUUACAAACAAGUUUUUGAAAUAAGCUGCUUCUAGCUCAGGAGAACAUUGAAAGCACAUUUAAAUCCUCCUGAAAACUCUAAGCCAGUGCUUAAGUGCUUUUUGAAAUCAAGACUGAGCUACUAAUCGAUGCAGAGUGAGAUGAAGGGCUUGGGUGCUGGGAGACAUUUUGUAGUAUUCACCAGGUGCUCUCUCAAAAACCCAGAAACCAGGCAGAGGCUUUGGAAGGCCCCAGUCACGUCUCAUUGGAAAAAUGUAUUCCCAUGAGGCCCAUGCAACUCAAACUCAGCUGCCCCAUGGCAUUGCUGCACGCAGAAGAGAGGCUCCAGCCACACAGCUUGUAAUGUCAAAGAUGGAUACUAGCACAGUGGACGUACUGAUGUUAUGAAUGAAUUAACCAAGGAACAUUAUACUUUAUUGCCAACUGAGAGCAAAUCCUUGAAGUUUAGUGCUAUUACACUUUAAAUAUUUCAGUUGGAUCUCAAACCAAGAUGUGCAGAAGAAUUGUUACCACGGAAGGAGCUGGAUUUUUUUAUCACGGAGGAGUCUCAUGAUUCCUUUGCUCCAGGGACAUUUAAAUGAAGAAACAUUCAGUUUGGAAGUUUGCCUAUUCUUCUUGGAAAAUAGUUAAAAAAAAAAAAAUGGGUUGAAGAAAACAAGAAGAGCCAAAAAAGAGUGCAAAGAAAAAUUGCCAUGUUUUUAGUCAAGUUUAUAAAUCUUUCCAUGGGACUUUUUGACAAAUGACUGCCCACCCACUUUGUGAGAAAUUUCUCCUGGACAUUGCUCAGAAACAUUUUUCUGUGCAGGUUUGCCAGCUAAAAUUUCUCAAAUUCCAUUUUUUUUUUCUUUUUUGUGGGAGGAGACUGUGUGUCUCAAGGAGUGUUAGUACCUUUUCCAUCCAGUCUCUCUCUCUCUUUUUUUCUUUUUUUCUUUUUUUCUUUUUUUUUUUUUCUAAAUACAGACUUGCUUACAUUCAGAUUAAUUCUGGGCAAGGUCAGGAGUAGUGAAAUUGCCAUAAACAUAACUCAGUUGCUGCUGUUUUCACAGGCCAUCUCUGAGAUCAGCUGAAGUUGCAUGUUUUUCUGUCUCUGUUGAGAAGUAAUUUGGAUUAGAGCUCCGUUGACUCAAGCAUUGAAGCCAGACCUAAAUGCUUGAGUGAGAUUUCCACACUAGCAUAAACUGAAGCACAUCCAAA